rnacentral:ncRNA from 1 species
UACCUGGUUGAUCCUGCCAGUAGUCAUAUGCUUGUCUCAAAGAUUAAGCCAUGCAAGUCUAAGUACGAGCUCUCGUACAGUGAAACUGCGAAUGGCUCAUUAAAUCAGUUAUGGUUCAUUUGAUCGUACAGUUUACUUGGAUAACUGUGGUAAUUCUAGAGCUAAUACAUGCGAGAAGCGCCGACCUCGCGGGAG